rnacentral:lncRNA from 1 species
UCGAAGUAAUAUCAACAAAAUAGAUGGCCUUAUAGAAGUCGUCAAUAAUGGAUGAGUAGAGUAAAACAAUGCAUUUUUCUGUAAACAUGUUGAGAAAGCCAUACUCGUAAUUACAAACAUUUGAUCUUAAAGAUACACUUAGUAAGAUGAAAUGGGUUCAUUACUUUCUAUUGGUAAACAAAUACUAAAUCCUAAUAAACAGGUAGUUUGCUUUCAUCCCCUAGAACCGAGUCACAAACAGCAGAGCAGUUGUGAAUAGUAUUCUCUAAUGGUAAUAUUUUUGUACAAAAGAAAUAACCGCACGGAUAAUGCAUGGUGAGAAAAGGUUACCAUAUAUAAGAACAUGAUUGAUUGAUCAUAUGUCGACGAUUUAUAGCACUGUUUUAAAAAGGAAGGAACCAUAGUCAAUGUAACCUGAGUACAAUAAAUAGCAUGUCACUUAACAAAACAUUCGAGAAAAAUAAGCAAAUAGCAUGCUUCUUUGCAUAUAAAGCAUUAUGUUUGAAUUAAAAGGAGAUGAUGAUUAAGGGCCUGCCAUCACAAUGAAAUACCAGUGAAGAGUGAAGACAAAUUGACUUGUUUUUUCUUUGAUAUAUGAAUGAUGGGAAGAAGUCGUAAUGGUCAAAUACCGGUUAACAAUUUUGUAUAGUGCAAUAAUUCAUUUUCCUCCCGUCCUUCAAUAAGGUCCCACAACUGAUUGCCAUUGUGAAGUUGUCCUCUAAAUUUAGGGUAUUCUGAUACAUCAUAUUGAUUAAUAUUUAGGCGUGUCAAACAUAUUGCACACUGUACCAAACAAUUCGACUAUAUACCUCAUUCAAAAACUGCAGAUUUACCGACUGACGAGAUGCAAGUGAAAGACGAUUUGUUGCGCACCCCUGAGUGAGCUGAGAACUUAAAUCAAAUCAAACACAAGGUUUUAAGUAAUUUACUACUACUGAUUUCUGAAACAAAAACUCUGUGCACUGCUACAGGCAAUAAAGUAAGUUGCCAAAAUUAAAUCUUGGUGUGAGAUUUUUUGUUACACUAACUUUUUGCAAGAACAUAUCAUACAUGUAUCAAUGCAUUAUCAGCGCAUCUACCUCCUUGACCUCCUCUUCCGUGAGCAUCACAUCGCUAUUCUAGUGCAUUCUUUAGGCUCUCAACAUCUAAUAGUGAAAAGGAAAUCAAAUACAUGAAUGAAAUUUUUAGCAAGCAUGAGAAACAAAAUCCAAUACAAAAUAGUACCUUUGUCACAUCCUAGCUAGUCCAUGCAUUAGUGUGUGCAUCAUGUUUAAAUUUCAUUUGAAUUUGAAAUGGGGAAGGACAGAACCCCCAGCCCCCUCUGAAACCAAUUAGGGUUUACUAAAAACUUUUUCAAUGAACCUGAAAUGCCCUUCUAAAAUGCCCAUCAUUUUUGUCUUGGUUCAGAACCUCUGCCAGAAGUGAUGCACAUUUUCCUAGGUCAUCCUAAGGUCUUUGGAUUAAAUCAUAAAUAUUUGAAUUUGGGCAUUUUAAAUUUAUAAAAUAUUUCAAAUGCUCAAAUAUCUCCAAACUAAAAUGUUUCAUGUUGGAAAUAAUCCAACUAUGGACCAGGAGUAUUUUGGUGAUUUUAGGAGUGGCCUAGGUAUUUUUAAUAAUUCAACAAACUUACAGAAUAAAUAAAAAAACAGAAAACAGGGAAUAACAGAAAACUUACCUGGCGCCCAGCACCCGGCCCACCUGCCGGCCCAGCCCAGCGCCGCGCCAGCGAGCUGCUUGCCGGCCAGGCAGGCAGGCAGGUGCCCGACGGCGGCCGCAGCGUGCGCCACGCAGCUGGCCGUCGCCCUGCUUCACCUCCUCGCCUCGUUGCUGGUUGGAUGAACUCCACGUCGAGCCGUGAACCCCCAGGACACCUCCAUUCUCCCCCAACUCCUCUCUCUCGCGUUCCCCCGCCAUGGCCGACGCCAUCGCCGCCACCCCCUCGCCGUAGCCACGCCCUCCGUCAACCCAACGCCGCGCCACCGUGUCUAGGAGCUCCGCCACCCUCCUCUCCUUCGAGCAAGCCGAGCACCGAGCGCUCGCAAGGCCCGAGUCCACCGCAUCGACUCGACCGAACCGCCGUCGCUGGAGAUCCCCUUCAACACCGUCGUCGCUCCGGCCCGUCCCCGGCCGCACCAAGUGUUUCGUCGAACUCCCUGUGAGCUUAACCAUCUUCCCCUCACUCCUUUUCUUGCCCCCGAGCUAUGUAGUGACCUCCCGGAGCUCAACCGCACCCACCACCGCGGAGCUCGUCGCCGACGUGCUCCCGGUCACCCUCCGGCCACCACUUGGUGUCCAUCGUGCUCACCACGUCACGUAGCACCUAGCCAACUACUCCCCGCACCUCACCGACCCCUCUAGCCUCAAGUUCGUCUUCGGCCGAACUCCGGUGGCCGCCAAAGUCGCCGCCGGCGCCAACUCCGGCCACCCCGACCCCAACGGACUCCACCAAGAGCUGCGGCUCGUCCUCAGCUCCACUCCGAUGGCCUCCGCGACCCAUUUAGUGGCCGGAACGGCCAAACUCACUUCCGCCGCCGCGUCGGGCUCGCCGGCGGCUAAACGCCGGUGCAGCCGACGUUGACUUCGACCACGGUGGGCCCUGGUUGACUCCGAUGAGUCAAUGACAGGUGGGGCCCAGCCCUGUUAACUAAAUAGGUUUAGUUUUAAUUAAACUUUAGUUAAACUAAUUACCCUGACACCCUGGACCUACAGUCAGGUUUGACCUGGACGUCUCCGUUGACCCUGACGUCAUUCUGACGCAUGGCUGACGCAAUAAAUUAAUUUCUGGAUUUAUUCUAAUAUAGGAAAUUCCAGAAUAUAGUUUAAACUUCAAAAAUUCAUAACUUUUAAUCUGUAACUCCAAAUCAAACAAGUUAUAUAUGAAAAAUGAUCAGAAAAAUCCAAUCUAUCCAUCUGUACUAGUUUCAUGCAUGUUUAAGCAAGCUAACCUGAUGUUUAGUGCAGAACAAGAUAAAACACUUUAAAGGGCCAUGUAUGAGUUUGAAAUUUGAAUCUUUGGUUCAAAUUGGUUCAAACCCUUCUGGUCUUAGUUGCAUUAGCCCAACACACUCAUAUUGCCAUGUUUCAUGCAUGCAUCAUAUUGUCGCAUAUUGUUUGGUGAUGGUUGUGUAUCGGUGUUCUUUGCGGCAGGUUCUGCCUCCGAGGAGUACCGUGAUUACCCUAGCGAAGAGCCGUAUCCGUGCAUCGAUCCAUCAGGCAAGCAACCAACCAGUUGAUCAUAUCGAUACAAUCCCAUGUUCUCGCUUCUGCUCUCUUUUACUGCAUUAAGACAACGCGUUUCAAACUGCUGUGUGCUACGGUAGUUGAACCCAUUUCCUCUGCAUGACCUGUCAUUGCCACAGUAACUAGAUGAAACCCACUAGCAUGUGUAGGAGUUGUUUGAGCCAUAUGUAUGUGUUGUUCCUACCUUGCUAUGCCUGCUAUGCUUAGAGUCGUGUCAGGUCUGGUUCAUCUGGGUGAUGGGCUAGAGUGAAAUGUUCAUGUCAGUAUGGGAGUGGUAUGUUGAACACGAUUUGGUAAAGGUAUCGAUGAGAGGCCAUGUAGGAGUACAUGGUGGGUUGUUUCAUUGAAGCCGUCCUUAAGCACUGAGAUCUGUAUGUGUGAUUUAAGAUUCAGCUACUACCAUGCAUUGGGCCCGAAACCAAUGGACCCUCUCGGCUUCUUAUUGACCCUAGUUCUCUAUCCAGGAGUUGCAAGUAGUUUCUGGUGUUUGUAGCCUACUGGAGGCCGUGGACAGCGCUGACCGUAGGGGUGGGCUGUGAUGCGGUAGGUACGUGGCACGGUGUACCGGAUACCCGUUAGGUAUCUCGGGAACCCUGUACACAUCGUUCGGGGCCGUAUGGGAAACCUCGGCCGGACUCCCUGCGGAUGGAACCUGGAUAGGCGAUAAACCUGGAUUAGAGACUUAGGUGAUUAGGUAGGUCGUGGCCGACACCCACGUUGGGCUUCCGCUUGAAGGUUACCGAGUACAUGUCGUGUAAACGACGGUAAGUGGUGAGAGCGUGUAUGAAGAAGUACACACCUGCAGGGUUAACAUGAUCUAUUCGAAUAGCCGCGUCCGCGGUAAAGGACUACUUGGUUGCCUAUACAGUUCAUAGACAAGUAAAUGGAAACUACUAAAAGCCUCAAGAUAAGUGUGAGUGCCGAGGAUGGCUCUUCCGUAGGAAGACGGAGGUGGAUCCUCGGUAGUGUAUUGAAGUGGUGAGUAGUGGACUCGUGUGCGCAAAACCAUUUCAAGUUGGAGUCUCGUAGGAUAGCCUAGCCAAGAGUCAAAGCUGGCUUGCUGCAAUAACUCCACCAACCCUUCUUGAUAAUGUGCAUGUAUGUAGGGUCUGAUGUAAGUCUUGCUGAGUACCUUUGUACUCAUAUUGCUAUAAUUUACAUUUUUACAGAAGACGCUGCAACCCCUUCUGAUGGGUUCUUCGUAGAUGUUGACAUCAAUGAGUAGGCUAAGGCCCAGGUGGUGAUCCUGAGCUUGUGAAGGACCACGUAGUAUAGUUAGGCUUUCCAAGCCUCUUUUAUUUUACUAGUUGUCUGUACUCAGACAAGUUACUUCCGCUGCUGGUUUGUAUGACUGUAUGACGUGAAUGCUGGGUCGUGUGACCCGUACUUAUGUGUAUGUUAUGUAUGGCUCUCUGAGCCUUAAAUAAAGUACUUGUGUCGUAGAAUCAUGUUGUGAUGCCUUGUUGUAUUUGCAAAUAUCGAGCAUAUUGUGUGUAUGAUUGAAAUGCUUGGUAUGUGUGGGAUCUGACUAUCUAGUUGUUUAUCUUUAGUAGCCUCUCUUACCGGGAAAUGUCUCCUAGUGUUACCACUGAGCCAUGGUAGCUUGCUACUGCUCCGGAACACUUAGGCUGGCCGGCAUGUGUCCUUCUUCGUUCCUGUGUCUGUCCCUUUGGGGAAAUGUCACGCAUUGAGUACCGGAGUCCUGCUAGCCCAGCGCUACAGCCCGGACCCACUUGCUGAUGACCGACACGUUCGAUGUUGGGUCAUGAAUGCCUGUCCCUGUAAGUCUGUGCCACUUUGGGUUUACGACUAGUCAUGUUAGCCCGGGCUCCUUAUCAUAUGGAUGCUAGCGACACUAUCAUAUACAUGAGCCAAAAGGCGCAAACGGUCCCGGGCAAAGGUAAGGCGACACCCGUGGGAAUACCGUGCGUGAGGCCGCAAAGUGAUAUGAGGUGUUACAGGCUAGAUCGAUGUGACAUUGAGUCGGGGUCCUGACAGCGUUGGCAUCAGAGCCGGACUGCCUGUAGGUUCUCCAAGCCAAACUGGUCGAUGUUGAGUCUAGAAAUUCUUUAGUUAUAUGUAGGGGAAUUGUUUGUGGGUUGGAACGUAAGGCUCUUUUUACUCCUUUAUCUUAUGACAUUCUGAUCUGAGUCAGUCUAUUCUUCCACCGGGGGUUAAGGAAUUAGGAUUUUUUCUCUCUAUCAGGUUCACGUGUUACUAUCAGUAGUACCUUAUAGGUUUGAUGGAUACAAGCCUAGUUCAGUUCUACUAUCACAUUAUGUUGCUAAGAUGGACCCAGAACUUUGAUAUGUUGUUGUUGAGUGUGUAUGAAAUCCUUUGUCAAAUGUCUCAAAAUCCUUUUUGAGCAUUUACAGCCGUUAUGCUGUCAAAAUUUUGCUAGAAAUUCUAAUGCCUUUGCAUUAUGAUUGUGCUUUCAAAUGGCCACUCGCGACCAAAAUCAAGUGGUUCGCCUGACUCGAUGCCUAGAUGUACCCGGCCAUACUGCCAUGUUGGUCAGGGUAAUGACUGAGGCUGGAUACCGUUGGUAUCCUGAGUACACGGUCGAAGAGCAAUUUCGAGACUUUAAUCAAAGCCAGUAUAUUUGCACUGUCAGGAUAUUUCCAUCUUAUCCUGGAUCCAUCGAGCCCCUUCACUGCUCCUAUGGACUCGGGGUUACUAUUGAGAUGGCUGUGCAGGAUGCCGCCUACUCUAUGAUGACCAUCAUGCGAGUCAGGACUGGCCAAUUUCGGGACUCUGAUUUCCGGUAUAUGCCAGCAUCACUUCCGGGAGCACAAGGGUAUCUCCAGGCUAUCUAUGCUGACCCCACUCAGGAGGAUUCACGGACUCGCACCACUGCUGAGAUGCUCGAGGAUAAGGACCGUGAAAAUCGGGCCUUGAGGCUAGAGCUUUUCAAUACCCGUGCUGACCAUUGGGCCACUUUGACUCGGUUUGCACCGGCUGUGCAAGCUGGAUAUUCGGAUAUGCGCGAUCUCUAUCCUGUGAGAUCUGCUCUGCCAGACGUGAUGGGUUGGCGUGAUGUAGGAGGCAUCACCCCACCUCGUGGUCCCCGCAGGCCACCGUUUGUUGGUCCAAGACCUCAUCCUAGCCCCUAUGGUCCACAAGCUCCGCGAGAUCGUCUGUUUCCGGAUGAUCAUGUUGAGCUUCUAGGCUAUGGAGGUGACUUCUACGAGGACUACUACGGAUCGGUCUGAGUUAGUAGUAGUAUCACUAGUUCGUUCUAGAUGUGUCGUCUAUCGUCCUGCGUGACUCGUGGGAUAUGACCUAGUUUGUACCGCCUUCCGGAGGUGUAGUAAAAUAAUGUAUAGGAGCUCGGAGUGCCUCCGUUGAGAUGUAAUCUUCCUUUCACCGUAUUAGUACCUUGUUUGGUCUUGUACUAAAACUUGUAUGGUGUGUAUGUCAAUGGAAUAAAAGAAGCAGUUUCUGUAUCUACCAUGUCAUACGGAUGAUCAUCUUGCAUUCCGAGUGAUUCCUUACAUUCUGUGUUCUAUGUUGGAAUCUUAACAUUCUGACUAAAUCAUUGUCUUGUUUACCUAGGAUGGUCAACACGCGCAAUAACCCUGCUUCCCAGGAGCAGGCCGAAGGCAGUGAAGUCGGGAAUACAAACCUGCCUCACCCUCCUUCCCUAGCCGAAGUUAUGCUGGAAGCCGAGAGAAACAAGCGGGAGACCAACCGUUUGUUGGAGCGUAUUGAACAGAACACAGCACACCAUCAGAGAAAUAACUUGGUGUCACUCAGUGAUUUCAUCAAGUUACAUCCACCCACGUUCCACCACUCCGUCGAGCCUCUCAACGCUGAUGACUGGCUUCGCAGUAUUUCUCACAAACUGCGUUCUGCACUAGUAGCUGAGGCUGACAAGGUCACCUUUGCUGCAUAUCAUCUUGAAGGCCCCGCCAGUCUAUGGUGGGAGAAUUAUGGAGCUAUGCGCCCAGCAGACCAUGUCACUACUUGGGCUGAAUUCAGCGAGGCUUUCCGUGAACAUCACAUUCCGGAGGGUCUCAUGGACCGUAAACGUGAGGAAUUUUGCAGUUUCACUCAAGGCCGACUCUCUGUGGAUGCUUACAGCAGGGAGUUCGUAACCUCGCACGAUAUGCAACUGAGGAAGUUUCUACUGAUGCCAAGAAGCAAGCAAGGUUCCGUAAGGGACUUAGUCCUGAGCUUCGCCGCGACCUCCGUCUGCAUGAGUGCACAUCUUUUCAGAAGCUUGUUAACAAGGCCAUCAGUGCUGAGACUGGUCAGACUGAUUUCGACGCAACACACAAGCAUGGCCGUGACAUGGGCUCCUCAUCCGGUGCUGGUCCUCAGAAGCGCCGUGUGUGGGUGCCUAACACUGCCCUGCCACCCAGGUUCACACCGAGGCCAUCCUUCCAGGCGCCUUGCCCCGUUCAACAGUUUGUACCAGCCAAGCCCUAUGGUGGUCCAACCAACAGUGCUCCUCCACGUACCAGUUCCGUGACUUGUUUCAAGUGUGGGGAAUCGGGCCACUAUAUGCGCGAGUGUCCCCAGAACAACCCCAACCAAUCUACAAAAACUGUUGGCCGUGGCAAGCCGACAGGGAAAGUGUUCUACGCCAAGCCGGCCACCGCUGCACGUGGCCAUGUCAACUGUAUCUCUGCCGAAGAAGCUCAAGAGGAUCCCAACGUCGUUCUCGGUACGCUCCUUGUUAAUUGCCACCCGGCAUCUGUUCUUUUUGAUACAGGAGCAUCUCAUUCAUUUAUAUCCGAGAGCUAUGCUCGUCUGCAUAACACCACAUUCUGUGAGAUGCCCACCUCUAUGGUAAUUCAAACUCCGGGAUCCAAAUGGCAAACUUCUAGAGUAUGCCAUGGAAAUGAAAUUCAAGUCGACAGACUUGUUUUUCUUGCAUCUUUGAUAGCCCUCAAAUCUUCGGAUAUUAAUAUCAUCCUGGGUAUGGACUGGAUGUCAGCCCAUCAUGCCAAGGUUGAUUGCUUCUCUAGGACUGUUCAACUCACCCAUCCUUCGGGGAAGAUAGUCAAUGUCUUGACCCGAGUAGCCAAGCGACAGCUAUAUUCUCUUAACGCCAGUCCGUUGCCAGACCUUGAGGACGUUCCGGUAGUCCGUGACUUCCCGGAUGUCUUCCCAGAGGAAUUGCCAGGUGUUCCACCUGACAGGGAUGUUGAGUUCGUAAUAGAUCUCAUUCCAGGAACCGUCCCGAUUGCUAGAAGACCCUAUAAGAUGGCACCACUAGAACUAACUGAGCUUAAGAAACAACUCGAUGAGUCCUUGAAAAAGGGUUUCAUCCGACCUAGUUCAUCUCCGUGGGCUUGCCCCGUCCUCUUCAUCAAGAAGAAGGAUGGUACGGACCAGAUGGUUGUAGAUUAUCGACCUGUCAAUUUGGUCACAAUCAAGAACAAAUAUCCGCUCCCCAGGAUCAACGACCUGUAUGAUCAGCUCGCUGGAUCCUCAGUCUUCUCCAAAAUGGAUUUGAGGUUGGGCUACCAUCAAAUCAAAAUCAGAAAUGGGGACAUUCCGAAAACGGCCUUUGUUACUCGUUAUGGCCAAUAUGAGUACACCGUCAUGUCCUUCGGCUUAACCAACGCUCCAGCCACCUUUUCUCGGUUAAUGAACUCAAUCUUCAUGGAGUAUUUGGAUAAAUUCGUCGUGGUUUACCUCGAUGAUAUACUCAUCUACUCCAAGAACGAGGAAGAACAUGCCGAACAUCUAAGGCUAGUGUUGAAGAAACUUCGAGAGCAUCGCCUUUAUGCCAAGUUCUCCAAAUGCGAAUUCUGGUUGCCAGAAGCCUAUCUAGGACAUGUAAUUUCUGGUAAAGGUAUUGCUGUUAACCCUGAGCGAGUUCAAGCCGUCCUUAAUUGGACUCCAACUGAAUCGGUCAAGCAAGUUCGGAGUUUUCUGGGCUUAGCGAGCUAUUGUUGUCGCUUUGUCGAAAAUUUCUCCAAAGUUGCAAAACCUCUAACCGAACUCCUCAAGAAAGAUAAAAAGUUCGAGUGGACUCCACAAUGUGAGCACAGCUUUCAGGAACUGAAAAGACGCUUGACAUCUGCUCCCGUAUUGGUACCGCCAGAUUUCUCUAAGGACUUUGUUAUCUACUGCGACGCCUCGCGACAAGGACUAGGUUGCAUUCUCAUGCAAGAUCGACACGUAAUUGCUUAUGCUUCACGGCAAUUGCACCCACAUGAGGAGAAUUAUCCUACUCAUGAUCUAGAGCUUGCAGCUGUAGUCUAUGCACUUAAAACCUGGCGACAUUACCUCCUCGGUAAUCGUUGUGAAAUAUUCACUGAUCACCAAAGUCUGAAGUACAUCUUCACCCAACCGGAUUUGAAUCUCAGGCAAAGACGUUAGGUCGAGUUGAUUACAGAUUUCGACUUAGGAAUAACUUACACCCCAGGGAAAGCCAACGUCAUGGCUGAUGCGCUAAGUCGUAAAUCUUAUUGUAACAACCUGAUGUUACAACAAAGUCAACCACUUCUCCAUGAGGAAUUUCAGAAACUUAAUCUCCACAUUGUUCCUCAAGGAUUCCUUUCCACCUUGGUGGCGAAACCUACCCUUACGGAUCAGAUCAUCAAAGCACAGAAGGUAGAUCCGGGAAUUUCCCGCAUCAAGAGAAACAUCAAGAAAGGAGUUGCGAAUUGUUUCUCCAUUGAUGAUCAAGGGGUCGUAUACUUCGGGAAUCGGCUAGUGGUUCCCAAGGUGCGAAACCUGAGGCGAUUGAUCCUUAAGGAAGCUCAUGAAUCUCCUCUCACUAUUCAUCCCGGUAGCACUAAGAUGUAUCAGGACCUACGCCAGAGGUUCUGGUGGACUAGGAUGAAGAGAGAAAUUGCUCAGUAUAUCGCUAAUUGCGACGUCUGCCAUCGUGUAAAAGCAGAGCAUCAACGGCCUGCUGGCACCCUUCAACCCCUAGCUAUUCCAGAAUGGAAAUGGGAUAAAAUUGGUAUGGACUUCAUCACCGGUUUUCCCAGGACCAAGAGAGGGAAUAAUGCUAUCUUCGUCGUUGUCGAUCGUCUUUCCGAAGUAGCCCAUUUCUUACCUAUUCGUGAGAGUAUAACUGCUAGUCAGUUAGCAGACUUGUACAUCUCCCGAAUAGUGUCUCUCCAUGGUGUUCCUUUGGAAAUUAACUCGGAUCGAGGAAGUCUCUUCACCUCUCGAUUUUGGGAAAGUUUCCAAAAUGCUAUGGGAACCCGCCUUUCUUUUAGUACCGCUUUCCACCCUCAAUCAAGUGGUCAAGUGGAACGCGUCAACCAGAUUCUAGAAGACAUGCUUCGAGCUUCUGUUAUCUCAUUCGGAAUGGAGUGGGAGAAAUGCCUUCCAUUUGCCGAAUUUGCUUAUAACAACAGCUAUCAAUCCAGUUUGGGCAAAGCCCCUUUUGAAGUUCUCUAUGGACGACGGUGUCGAACACCCCUUAAUUGGUCAGAAACCGGGGAAAGACAAUUCUUUGGCCCGGAUAUGAUUCAGGAAGCAGAAGAGCAAGUUCGCAUCGUUCGUGAAAAGUUGAAAACAGCCCAAUCUCGUCAAAAGAGUCAAUAUGACCGAAAACAUAAGGCUAUGACUUUCGAGGUUGACGAGAAGGCUUACCUUCGGGUUACUCCUCUGAAGAGAACUCAUCGUUUCGGUAUCAAAGGCAAAUUGGCUCCUCGUUACAUUGGACCUUUUCGUAUUCUCGCUAAACGAGGAGAAGUUGCCUACCAAUUGGAACUACCUCCGCAUCUCUCCAGAGUCCAUGAUGUCUUCCACGUUUCUCAACUCAGGCGUUGCUUCUCGGAUCCUAUCCGUGGAGUGGACCACGAAACGCUUGAUCUCCAAGAUAAUCUCACGUAUCGAGAGUACCCCGUUCGUAUCCUCGAUCAAGCCGAGCGUACCACUCGACGUCAUAAUAUCAAGUUUCUCAAAGUUCAAUGGUCGCACCAUUCUGAGGAUGAAGCAACUUGGGAAAGGGAGGAUCGUCUUCGACUUGAGUACCCCGCCUUCUUUCCGGAGGAACCUAAAUCUCGGGAUGAGAUUCUUUUGAGUGGGGGUGAGUUGUCACAUCCUAGCUAGUCCAUGCAUUAGUGUGUGCAUCAUGUUUAAAUUUCAUUUGAAUUUGAAAUGGGGAAGGACAGAACCCCCAGCCCCCUCUGAAACCAACUAGGGUUUACUAAAAACUUUUUCAAUGAACCUGAAAUGCCCUUCUAAAAUGCCCAUCAUUUUUGUCUUGGUUCAGAACCUCUGCCAGAAGUGAUGCACAUUUUCCUAGGUCAUCCUAAGGUCUUUGGAUUAAAUCAUAAAUAUUUGAAUUUGGGCAUUUUAAAUUUAUAAAAUAUUUCAAAUGCUCAAAUAUCUCCAAACUAAAAUGUUUCAUGUUGGAAAUAAUCCAACUAUGGACCAGGAGUAUUUUGGUGAUUUUAGGAGUGGCCUAGGUAUUUUUAAUAAUUCAACAAACUUACAGAAUAAAUAAAAAAAUAGAAAACAGGGAAUAACAGAAAACUUACCUAGCGCCCAGCACCCGACCCACCUGCCGGCCCAGCACAGCGCCGCGCCAGCGAGCUGCUUGCCGGCCAGGCAGGCAGGCAGGUGCCCGACGGCGGCCGCAGCGUGCGCCACGCAGCUGGCCGUCGCCCUGCUUCACCUCCUCGCCUCGUUGCUGGUUGGAUGAACUCCACGUCGAGCCGUGAACCCCCAGGACACCUCCAUUCUCCCCCAACUCCUCUCUCUCGCGUUCCCUCGCCAUGGCCGACGUCAUCGCCGCCACCCCCUCGCCGUAGCCACGCCCUCCGUCAACCCAACGCCGCGCCACCGUGUCUAGGAGCUCCGCCACCCUCCUCUCCUUCGAGCAAGCCGAGCCCCGAGCACUCGCAAGGCCCGAGUCCACCGCAUCGACCUCGACCGAACCGCCGUCGCCGGAGAUCCCCUUCAACGCCGUCGUCGCUCCGGCCCGUCCCCGGCCGCACCAAGUGUUUCGUCGAACUCCCUGUGAGCUUAACCAUCUUCCCCUCACUCCUUUUCUUGCCCCCGAGCUAUGUAGUGACCUCCCGGAGCUCAACCGCACCCACCGCCGCGGAGCUCGUCGCCGACGUGCUCCCGGUCACCCUCCGGCCACCACUUGGUGUCCAUCGUGCUCACCACGUCACGUAGCACCUAGCCAACUACUCCCCGCACCUCACCGACCCCUCUAGCCUCAAGUUCGUCUUCGGCCGAACUCCGGUGGCCGCCAAAGUCGCCGCCGGCGCCAACUCCGGCCACCCCGACCCCAACGGACUCCACCAAGAGCUGUGGCUCGUCCUCAGCUCCACUCCGAUGGCCUCCGCGACCCAUUUAGUGGCCGGAACGGCCAAACUCACUUCCGCCGCCGCGUCGGGCUCGCCGGCGGCUAAACGCCGGUGCAGCCGACGUUGACUUCGACCACGGUGGGCCCUGGUUGACUCCGAUGAGUCAAUGACAGGUGGGGCCCAGCCCUGUUAACUAAAUAGGUUUAGUUUUAAUUAAACUUUAGUUAAACUAAUUACCCUGACACCCUGGACCCACAGUCAGGUUUGACCUGGACGUCUCCGUUGACCCUGACGUCAUUCUGACGCAUGGCUGACGCAAUAAAUUAAUUUCUGGAUUUAUUCUAAUAUAGGAAAUUCCAGAAUAUAGUUUAAACUUCAAAAAUUCAUAACUUUUAAUCUGUAACUCCAAAUCAAACAAGUUAUAUAUGAAAAAUGAUCAGAAAAAUCCAAUCUAUCCAUCUGUACUAGUUUCAUGCAUGUUUAAGCAAGCUAACCUGAUGUUUAGUGCAGAACAAGAUAAAACACUUUAAAGGGCCAUGUAUGAGUUUGAAAUUUGAAUCUUUGGUUCAAAUUGGUUCAAACCCUUCUGGUCUUAGUUGCAUUAGCCCAACACACUCAUAUUGCCAUGUUUCAUGCAUGCAUCAUAUUGUCGCAUAUUGUUUGGUGAUGGCUGUGUAUCGGUGUUCUUUGCGGCAGGUUCUGCCUCCGAGGAGUACCGUGAUUACCCUAGCGAAGAGCCGUAUCCGUGCAUCGAUCCAUCAGGAAAGCAACCAACCAGUUGAUCAUAUCGAUACAAUCCCAUGUUCUCGCUUCUGCUCUCUUUUACUGCAUUAAGACAACGCGUUUCAAACUGCUGUGUGCUACGGUAGUUGAACCCAUUUCCUCUGCAUGACCUGUCAUUGCCACAGUAACUAGAUGAAACCCACUAGCAUGUGUAGGAGUUGUUUGAGCCAUAUGUAUGUGUUGUUCCUACCUUGCUAUGCCUGCUAUGAUUAGAGUCGUGUCAGGUCUGGUUCAUCUGGGUGAUGGGCUAGAGUGAAAUGUUCAUGUCAGUAUGGGAGUGGUAUGUUGAACACGAUUUGGUAAAGGUAUCGAUGAGAGGCCAUGUAGGAGUACAUGAUGGGUUGUUUCAUUGAAGCCGUCCUUAAGCACUGAGAUCUGUAUGUGUGAUUUAAGAUUCAGCUACUACCAUGCAUUGGGCCCGAAACCAAUGGACCCUCUCGGCUUCUUAUUGACCCUAGUUCUCUGUCCAGGAGUUGCAAGUAGUUUCUGGUGUUUGUAGCCUACUGGAGGCCGUGGACAGCGCUGACCGUAGGGGUGGGCUGUGAUGCGGUAGGUACGUGGCACUGUGUACCGGAUACCCGUUAGGUAUCUCGGGAACCCUGUACACAUCGUUCGGGGCCGUAUGGGAAACCUCGGCCGGACUCCCUGCGGAUGGAACCUGGAUAGGCGAUAAACCUGGAUUAGAGACUUAGGUGAUUAGGUAGGUCGUGGCCGACACCCACGUUGGGCUUCCGCUUGAACGUUGCCGAGUACAUGUCGUGUAAAUGACGGUAAGUGGUGAGAGCGUGUAUGAAGAAGUACACACCUGCAGGGUUAACAUGAUCUAUUCGAAUAGCCGCGUCCGCGGUAAAGGACUACUUGGUUGCCUAUACAGUUCAUAGACAAGUAAAUGGAAACUACUAAAAGCCUCAAGAUAAGUGUGAGUGCCGAGGAUGGCUCUUCCGUAGGAAGACGGAGGUGGAUCCUCGGUAGUGUAUUGAAGUGGUGAGUAGUGGACUCGUGUGCGCAAAACCAUUUCAAGUUGGAGUCUCGUAGGAUAGCCUAGCCAAGAGUCAAAGCUGGCUUGCUGCAAUAACUCCACCAACCCUUCUUGAUAAUGUGCAUGUAUGUAGGGUCUGAUGUAAGUCUUGCUGAGUACCUUUGUACUCAUGUUGCUAUAAUUUACAUUUUUACAGAAGAUGCUGCAACCCCUUCUGAUGGGGUUCUUCGUAGAUGUUGACAUCAAUGAGUAGGCUAAGGCCCAGGUGGUGAUCCUGAGCUUGUGAAGGACCACGUAGUAUAGUUAGGCUUUCCAAGCCUCUUUUAUUUUACUAGUUGUCUGUACUCAGACAAGUUACUUCCGCUGCUGGUUUGUAUGACUGUAUGACUUGAAUGCUGGGUCGUGUGACCCGUACUUAUGUGUAUGUUAUGUAUGGCUCUCUGAGCCUUAAAUAAAGUACUUGUGUCGUAGAGUCAUGUUGUGAUGCCUUGUUGUAUUUGCACAUAUCGAGCAUAUUGUGUGUAUGAUUGAAAUGCUUGGUAUGUGUGGGAUCUGACUAUCUAGUUGUUUAUCUUUAGUAGCCUCUCUUACCGGGAAAUGUCUCCUAGUGUUACCACUGAGCCAUGGUAGCUUGCUACUGCUCCGGAACACUUAGGCUGGCCGGCAUGUGUCCUUCUUCGUUCCUGUGUCUGUCCCUUUGGGGAAAUGUCACACAUUGAGUACCGGAGUCCUGCUAGCCCAGCGCUACAGCCCGGACCCACUUGCUGAUGACCGACACGUUCGAUGUUGGGUCAUGAAUGCCUGUCCCUGUAAGUCUGUGCCACUUUGGGUUUACGACUAGUCAUGUCAGCCCGGGCUCCUUAUCAUAUGGAUGCUAGCGACACUAUCAUAUACGUGAGCCAAAAGGCGCAAACGGUCCCGGGCAAAGGUAAGGCGACACCCGUGGGAAUACCGUGCGUGAGGCCGCAAAGUGAUAUGAGGUGUUACAGGCUAGAUCGAUGUGACAUUGAGUCGGGGUCCUGACAACCUUGCAUGAUGAUGCAGUAACAGUGCAAGAGUUGCUAAGGAUCUACAAAUGUUGCUAAGAAUGAGAAAUGCAAUGGUUUAUUUGUAGGAUCAUACACUGAGAAUAUUAUCAUGGUUUCAGUAAAAAUACAGGCAAAAGUUACACUUGAUUCGAAUUUAGAACUGAUUCUCGAUCAUCAUCCAUAGGGUACCCCUCGAAGUAAUAUCACCAAAAUACAUGGCCUUAUAGAAGUCGUCAAUAAUCGAUGAGUAGAGUAAAACAAUGCAUUUUUGUGUAAACAUGCUGAAAACCAUACUCGUAAUUCCAAGCAUUUGAUCUCAUAAAGAUACACUUAGUAAGUUGAAAUGGGUUCAUUACUUUCUCUUGGUAAACAAAUAUUAUAUCCUAAUAAACAGAUAGUUUGCCUUCAUCGCCUAGAACCGAGUCACAAAUAGCAGAGCAGUUGUGAACAGUAUUCCCUAAUGGUAAGAUUUUUGUACAAAAGGAAUAACCGCACGGAUAAUGGAUGGUGAGAAAAGGUUACCAUAUAUAAGAACAUGAUUGAGUGAUCAUCUGUCGACAAUUCUAUUUAAAAAAGGAAGGAACCAUAGCCGAUGUAACCUGAAUACAAUAAAUAGCAUGUCACUUCACAAAACAUGCGAGAAAAAUAAGCAAACAACAUGCUUCUUUGCACAUAAGCAUUAUGUUUGAAUUAAAAGGAGAUGAUGAUUAAGGGCCUGCCAUCACAAUGAAAUACCAGUGAAGAGUGAAGACAAAUUGACUUGUUUUUUCUUUGAUAUAUGAAGGAUGGGAAGAAGUCGUAAUGGUCAAAUACCGGUUAACAAUUUUGUAUAGUGCAAUAAUUCAUUUUCCUCCCGUCCUUCAAUAAGGUCCCACAACGGAUUGCCAUUGCAGAAUUGUCCUCUAAAUUUAGGGUAUU